rnacentral:tRNA from 1 species
GCCCACGUGGCUCAGUGGUUAGAGUGUCAGCCUGCACACCAAAGAGACUCAGGUUCAAUUCCUGGUCAAGGGCA